AUACGGAGGGUGCAAGCGUUGUUCGGAAUUACUGGGCGUAAAGCGCGCGUAGGUGGUCUGUUAUGUCAGAUGUGAAAGUCCACGGCUCAACCGUGGAAGUGCAUUUGAAACUGGCAGACUUGAGUACUGGAGGGGGUAGUGGAAUUCCCGGUGUAGAGGUGAAAUUCGUAGAUAUCGGGAGGAAUACCGGUGGCGAAGGCGACUACCUGGCCAGAUACUGACACUGAGGUGCGAAAGCGUGGGGAGCAAACAGGAUUAGAAACCCUAGUAGUCC
rnacentral:rRNA from 1 species